rnacentral:rRNA from 2 species
UUGUCUUUUAAAUAAAGACCAGUAUGAAUGGCAAGACGAAAGUUCAACUGUCUCCCUAAAUUAAUCAAUGAAAUUGAUCUUCCCGUGCAGAAGCGGGAAUAAAACUAUAAGACGAGAAGACCCUAUGGAGCUUUAAAUAUAUGGUCAACUGUAUAAUAUAAAAUUCAAUAGAUUAAACAUUAAAUAAAACAUUAUGAUCAAAAUUUUAGGUUGGGGCGACCACGGAGAAAAAUAAAACCUCCGAGAUGAAAAGAGUAUCUUAAUUUAUGAACUACAGUUCUAAUAAAUAAAAUAUUUAACAUAAUUGAUCCAAUAUAUUGAUCAACGAACUAAGUUACCCUAGGGAUAACAGCGCAAUCCUUUCCAAGAGUCCCUAUCGACGAAUGGGUUUACGACCUCGAUGUUGGAUCAGGACACCCCAAUGGUGCAGCCGCUAUUAAAGGUUCGUUUGUUCAACGAUUAAAGUCCUA